rnacentral:misc_RNA from 1 species
GAUGAAGAACGCAGCGAAAUGCGAUAAGUAAUGUGAAUUGCAGAAUUCAGUGAAUCAUCGAAUCUUUGAACGCACCUUGCGCCCUUUGGCUAUUCUGAAGGGCAUGCCUGUUUGAGUAUCGUGAACACCUCAACUCUCAUGGUCUGCCAUGAUGAGCUUGGACUUUGGGGGUCUUGCUGGCCUACUGUCAGCUCCUCUCAAAUGAAUCAGCUUACCAGUGUUUGGUGGCACCACAGGUGUGAGAACUAUCUACGCUUGUGGUUUUCUGCCAGGUAACCUCCAGUGAUGGAGGUUCGCUGGAGCUCACAAAUGUCUCUCCUCAGCGAGGACAGCUUUUUGAACGUUUGAUCUCAAAUCAGGUAGGACUACCCGCUGAACUUAAGCAUAUCAAUAAGCGGAGGA